rnacentral:lncRNA from 1 species
GGCACAGCCAAGCGAUGACGGUGGCCUCCAGCAUGUCCUGGUCCCACCAGGCAGCGUCAAACAGCUCCCUGGCUUGCUGUCGCACCCAGGAGCGCAGCGGACCGAGGACUUCCAGGUGCUCCCUGAAGAGGGCCGCCCAUUCCUCGGGCAGGAGGCCUCUCAGGGCAGGCUGGGGCACCGGCUCUGCAGCCCCCUGCUCGUCCUGCUGGCUGUCGUCUUCGGCCUCUGCGUCGGGGGCAAGCUGCACCUCCAGGAAGUCGUCUUCCGCCCAGAUGGAGUAGCGGAUGGAGGUGAUGCGCUGCCUGCAGAGGGGGCAGGUGCUGCUUCUCUUGGCCCAGCGCAUGAUGCACCCGAAGCAGAAGCGGUGCAGACAGGGGAGGGUGUAGCUGGGCUCCUUGGGGGCCCCCUGGCACACAGGGCAGGUGACGUCCUGGGCCUCACUGGCCAUGGCGUCGGCUCGCUGCAGCGGGCUGGGGAGAGCUGCAGAUGGGGAGCUGCUUCCCCUGGCUGGCGCCGCUGCCACAGGUGCUGUGUGCUGCAAGAAGGAGAGAGGCCAGGGUCAGUGGCUGUGCCGGAGCGGGCAGCGGCAGUGCCCCGGCCCCUCAGCAGGACAAAACCCCAAGCCCAGCCCCGGGGCACGUGUCCCCGCACAGCUCACCUGCACUGCUGCGAGCACUCCCCGCACAGCCCCGGCUGCCUGAGCCAGGCAGGGCCGGGGAAACGCAGGCACUGGCUGUGGGGAUGGGCACUGAGAGCAGCUGCCAACAGCCCCACAGCACAGCUCCAACAACUCCUCUCAGGAGAUCCUUGCUCGGCACUCCAAGCCUCGCACACACGCUCAGCGGGAGUCCAGGCACGAGCCAGGCUGGGCCAGGCUCUGCCGGCGCCCCAAGAUAAGCGGCGAGGGCCGUGAGGUCACAGCCCGUUGCCGGGUGACCUCAUAGCCCAUCGCUGCCUGAGCUCAGAGCCCAGCGCUCUGGGUGAACCCCAAAACCAAAGCACGUGUCUGAAAGCACUUCCCAGACAGUUUGUGAACUCCAGCACGUUUGCUGCCAUGACCACUUCCCUGGGAGGCCUGUUUCAGUGGCCAAGCCCCGUGUUGGUGAAAAAGCUUUUCCUCACCUCCAGACAGACCCUCCAGUGGCCCAUCUCCUUGCCAUUCCCUCGAGUUUUGUCAGUGUCCCCAGAGAGCAGAGCUGAACAAACACGGGGACCACAUGUGCUCCUCAUCCAUCUUACUCUCCAG